GCCCACAGACCCGCCCUGGCAGCCUGGCCCACCCCAAAUCAUGUGUGUGUGUUGGGGGUGUGGGGGCUAGUGGGGCAGAGGAUAAGCAGGCUAGAAGAGCCCACUCCUACCACUGCGAUCCAGGAGGUGCCUGCAACAGUUGCCUUCCCCCCCCCACUUCUACCGCCCCCAUGGAGAUGAAAACACUGAGGUUCAGAGACGUGAGCAGUAGCUUUCUCAAGGGCCCAGAGCCAAGAAGCGUUGAAGCUUAAAAGCACGCCGUAGCAGGGAAGAUCAAGCAAGUUCUGUGCCUAUCUGCAGGCGCAGCGAAGCUAAUACAUUCAGGCCACCAACCCGGUCCAGUCGAGAACCUAGAGAGAGAGGAGACUGCAGUCAACAUCCCAGAGAAUUCAUCUCACCCUCAUGCAGGAUGAUGCACUCCUCCAUUG
rnacentral:lncRNA from 1 species